rnacentral:rRNA from 1 species
AACCUGGUUGAUCCUGCCAGUAGUCAUAUGCUUGUCUCAAAGAUUAAGCCAUGCAUGUCUAAGAAUAAGCCCUUGAACGGUGAAUCUGCGAAUGGCUCAUUAAAUCAGUUAUAGUUUAUUUGAUGGUACCUUUUACUACUUGGAUAACCGUAGUAAUUCUAGAGCUAAUACAUGCGUCAAACCUCGACUCGCGAGAGAAGGGGUGCAUUUAUUAGAUUCAAACCAUUAGGGAGACUUUCGGGUUUCCUUUUCUAAUGGUGAGUCAUAAUAACUGAGCGAAUCGUAUGGGCCUUCGUGCCCGGCGAUGCUUCAUUCAAAUUUCUGCCCUAUCAGCUUCCGAUGGUAGGAUCUUGGCCUACCAUGGCGAUAACGGGUAACGGGGAAUUAGGGUUCGAUUCCGGAGAGGGAGCUUGAGAAACGGCUACCACAUCCAAGGAUGGCAGCAGGCGCGCAAAUUACCCAAUCCCGACACGGGGAGGUAGUGACAAUAAAUAUCAAUGCUGGACUAAUUCUAGUCCGGUAAUUGGAAUGAGAGUUUUAAACCCAUUCUCGAGGAGCCAUUGGAGGGCAAGUCUGGUGCCAGCAGCCGCGGUAAUUCCAGCUCCAAUAGCGUAUAUUAAAGUUGUUGCAGUUAAAAAGCUCGUAGUCUGAACAUCUCUCGGCCUUUUUUGGUGCGGGCCGUCAAUUCAAAUGGGUUCCUUGGGUUGGUCCUUUGGGCUGGCCUUAGGUUCCCUUUUGGCGCUGUCAGUGCCUGGGGUCGGGUGUGUUCGUCGGAUCUUUUCUCUYCUUUUUUGGGGGGGAAAACCUUCGACACAACUUCAGAGGAGUGGGGUUAACUGUGCUCUUAGUUGAGUGCGCCUACUAUUCUGAUAGUUUACUUUGAGAAAAAUAGAGUGUUCAAAGCAGGCAGUAUUGUUUGCCGUUGAAUACAUUAGCAUGGGAUAAUGGAAUAGGACACUUUCCUUGGGGGGGUCAGGCUUUUUUGUUUGGCUCUUCCUUGGAGUUUAUUGGUCUUCUAUUUCGAUGGUUUGCGGACCAGUGUAAUGAUUAAUAGGAACAGUUGGGGACAUUCAUAUUUCAUGGCUAGAGGUGAAAUUCUUGGAUUCAUGAAAGAUGAACUACUGCGAAAGCAUUUGUCAAAGAUGUUUCAUUGAUCAAGAACGAAAGUUAGGGGAGCAAAGACGAUUAGAUACCGUCGUAGUCUUAACCAUAAACUAUGCCGACCAGGGAUCGGUGGGCGUUUAUUUGGUGAUUAAUUUUGCCAAAGUGACUCCAUCGGCACCUCGCGGGAAACCAGAGUCUUUGGGUUCCGGGGGAGUAUGGUCGCAAGGCUGAAACUUAAAGGAAUUGACGGAAGGGCACCACCAGGAGUGGAGCUUGCGGCUUAAUUUGACUCAACACGGGAAAACUCACCAGGUCCAGACAUGAAGAGGAUUGACAGAUUGAGAGCUCUUUCUUGAUUCCAUGAAAGGUGGCGCAUGGCCGUUCUUAGUUGGUGGAGUGAUUUGUCUGGUUAAUUCCGAUAACGAACGAGACCUUGACCUGCUAAAUAGUCGGGUGAAGUGUGUUUUGGCGCUUUUUGUGCCUUCUCAUGCUUUGUUAUUUCGAUCAAAAUUCUUUUUGGUCGGGACCCGUCGCUUUUUAUUGGGGCGAACUUCUUCGGAGGUUUGUUCUGGUUGGGCACGGGCGACUUCUUAGAGGGACUAUUUGUUUCUAGCAGAUGGAAGUUCGAGGCGAUAACAGGUCUGUGAUGCCCUUAGAUGUCCUGGGCUGCACGCGUGCUACACUGACGAACUCAACGAGUUUAUAACCUUGGCAGAGAUGUCUGGGUAAUCUUCUCAAAGUUCGUCGUGCUGGGGAUAGAUGAUUGUAAUUAUUCGUCUUGAACGAGGAAUUCCUAGUAAGUGUGAGUCAUCAGCUCGCGCUGAUUACGUCCCUGCCCUUUGUACACACCGCCCGUCGCUCCUACCGAUUGAAUGGUCCGGUGAGAACGUCGGAUUCUGCGCACUUUCUUGCUGGUUCGCCAGCAUGGUGCGCGAGAGAAGUUGUUCAAACCUUACCAUUUAGAGGAAGGAGAAGUCGUAACAAGGUCUCCGUAGGUGAACCUGCAGAAGGAUC